GACGAACGCUGGCGGCGUGCCUAAUACAUGCAAGUCGAGCGGAUCUCUUCGGAGAUCAGCGGCGGACGGGUGAGUAACACGUGGGCAACCUGCCUGUAAGACUGGGAUAACUCCGGGAAACCGGGGCUAAUACCGGAUAACCCUUCGGACCUCAUGGUCCGGAGCUGAAAGACGGUUAUGCUGUAACUUACAGAUGGGCCCGCGGCGCAUUGGCUAGUUGGUGCGGUAACGGCGCACCAAGGCGACGAUGCGUAGCGGACCUGAGAGGGUGAUCGGCCACACUGGGACUGAGACACGGCCCAGACUCCUACGGGAGGCAGCAGUAGGGAAUCUUCCGCAAUGGACGAAAGUCUGACGGAGCAACGCCGCGUGAGUGAAGAAGGUUUUCGGAUCGUAAAACUCUGUUGUUAGGGAAGAACAAGUACGAGAGUAACUGCUCGUACCUUGACGGUACCUAACCAGAAAGCCACGGCUAACUACGUGCCAGCAGCCGCCGUAACAC
rnacentral:rRNA from 1 species